rnacentral:rRNA from 1 species
CACGUAGGGUGCGAGCGUUGUCCGGAAUUAUUGGGCGUAAAGAGCUCGUAGGGUGGUUUGUCGCGUUGUCCGUGAAAAACUCACAACUCAAUUGUGGGCGUGCGGGACGAUACGGCAGACUGGAGUACUGCAGGGGAGACUGGAAUUCCUGGUGUAGCGGUGGAAUGCGCAGAUAUCAGGAGGAACGACCGGUGGCGAAGGCGGGUCUCUGGGACGGUACUGACGCUGAGACGCGAAAGCGUGGGGAGCGAACAGG